rnacentral:rRNA from 1 species
GACGAACGCUGGCGGCGUGCUUAACACAUGCAAGUCGAACGGAAAGGCCCUGCUUUUGUGGGGUGCUCGAGUGGCGAACGGGUGAGUAACACGUGUGUAAACUGCCCUUGACUUUGGGAUAACUUCAGGAAACUGGGGCUAAUACCGGAUAGGAUCUCCUGCUCCACGGUGGUGGUUGGAAAGUUUCGGCGGUUGUGGAUGGACUCGCGGCUUAUCAGCUUGUUGGUGUGGUAGUGGCUUACCAAGGGUUUGACGGGUAGCCGGCAUUGGAGGGGUGACGGCGACAUGGGGACUGAGAGACGGCGCAGACGCGAAUGGGAGGCAGCGGGGGGGAAUCUGGCAGAAUGGGCGGGAGCCUGAGGCAAAAAUGCCGCGUGCGGGAAGACGGGCUUCGGGUUGUAAACAGAUUUCGCAUGAGACGUAGCGGGAGUGACGGUAAUGGGUAAAGAAGCACCGGCUAACUACGUG